UACGGAGGGUCCAAGCGUUAUCCGGAAUCAUUGGGUUUAAAGGGUGCGCAGGCGGCUUUUUAAGUCAGUGGUGAAAUCCCCCGGCUCAACCGGGGAACUGCCAUUGAUACUGGAUAGCUUGAAUAUAGUUGAAGUAGGCGGAAUGUGUAGUGUAGCGGUGAAAUGCUUAGAUAUUACACAGAACACCGAUAGCGAAGGCAGCUUACUAAGCUAUUAUUGACGCUCAUGCACGAAAGCGUGGGGAGCGAACAGG
rnacentral:misc_RNA from 1 species